ensembl:lncRNA
UCUGUUUAGUGUUGGUUGCACCUUGCAGAACUGUUUCGGCCAUUAUUUUUUGUUAUUUUGUAUUCAGUGUUCAGUCAGUUAAGCUAUUAAAGAUUAACACGUACCCCUCUGCACUUUGGUCCAAUGACUCUUCUUCUUCCGACGAAAGCUGUGACACUGGACAAAGAUCAAUGUACUCCAGUCUAAGAGAAGAUCGGAAAUCCUCAAAUCGAUGCUGUCCUUCAUGUACGCCCACCUGACCUUCUUCCACCAGGGUUACGACCUCUUCAGUGAACUACAACCUCUCAUGAAACAGCUGGGAGGACAGUAUCAUCCUUCAGCUCCACUCAACCCCUCCCAUCCAUCUCUGAAAACCAUCCAGUUUUGAUAUCUAUUUGCCAUAUUUUUCAACUGUGCUGUGAUAUUUCAAAAGUUCUGAACCUUUCUAUUCUCAUAGAUUCUACAUAUUAAAGAAACAUUUUUGCUAAGAGUAUUAUUAUUAAUCGACUGACUGACUUAAAAUGACCCAGUAGUGCUAUUUGCAGAGUUAGCUCCAGGUAAAUGUUGCAAUUCUUUAGCCAUUCCUGAGCGCUCCAGUUAUUGAUUAUUGAACAUUAUGAUCUCAUUGCUGUUAUAGGCCUACAGAAAAUAAAAGCUUUGCAUUGCAAUCUCUGAUUGUUAUUUCCACGCUCCAUCCAUGAUGGUAAAGAAUCUGGGUUUAUUCAUGUUUUGUUGUUUAUUUAAUGAUCCUCACCUCAUUAAACCAGGUGGCGUAACAGCUACAAUCUUUAAAUUGUAAACAACGUGUGCUGUAGUUUGAAUGCUGCAACAGCUAACUGGUGAAUGUUUUAAUUGAAUCAGUAGAUUGAUCGUUUCUGUGUAUUUUAAAGCUGAUGCUAUACUAAAUGAAUGUAUGAUUCUGACAGUAAGCAACUUCUAUCAAAAUGUGUAUAUGAGUGUUUGCAAACUGUAUCCGACAGGAUCAAGCAUUUACAGUACUGAAAUGUCCAUCUGG